AUUGCAGAAGAACUGGAAUCUUUUCAGUGUCUGUAUUGGGAUGGCUGCAACUUCCAUGUUUCAACUUUCACGUAAAAUUCAGCAUGACUUAUCUCCCAAAAACCAACAAGCUGCUGAAAAGAAUAAUGAAGAACAUCACUUCAUCAACUUAUUAUAGAGUAACUUGGCAUACCAAGUUGGGCACACUCUGAUUUGAGUUAUGUAAACUGAUUAUUAGUUUCUUUCUUUUUUUGAAAUACAAUUUAUGGUAAAUUACGGAAGAGUGAGAUUAAACUCGAGUGUAAUGAAUAAGCACACCGUGCUCAACUAACCGAACUAUUUGUGUUAUAAUUACUUGAUAAUAUAUAUAU